UCCAACACUAAAAACCUAGUGCACUCCAACACUAAAAACCUAGAGAACUCCAACACUAAAAACCUAGUGCACUUCAACACUUAAAACCUAGUGCACUCCAACACUCUAGUGCACUCCAACACUCUAGUGCACUCCAACACUAAAAACCUAGUGCGCUCCAACACUAAAAACCUAGAGCACUCCAACACUAAAAACCUAGUGCACUCCAACACUAAAAACCUAAAGCACUUCAACACUAAAAA